AUUGAACGCUGGCGGCAGGCCUAAUACAUGCAAGUCGAACGGUAACAUAAGAAAAGCUUGCUUUUCUUGAUGACGAGUGGCGGACGGGUGAGUAAGAUUUGGGAAGCUACCUGAUAGAGGGGGACAACAGUUGGAAACGACUGCUAAUACCGCAUACAGCCUCAGGGUGAAAGAAGCGAUUCGCUAUCAGAUGUGUCCAAACGGGAUUAGCUAGUAGGUGAGGUAAAGGCUCACCUAGGCGACGAUCUCUAGCUGGUCUGAGAGGUUGAUCGGCCACACUGGGACUGAGACACGGCCCAGACUCCUACGGGAGGCAGCAGUAGGGAAUAUUGCACAAUGGAGGAAACUCUGAUGCAGCCAUGCCGCGUGUGUGAAGAAGGCC
rnacentral:rRNA from 1 species